CCUACGGGUGGCAGCAGUGGGGAAUAUUGGUCAAUGGGGGGAACCCUGAACCAGCAACGCCGCGUGAGGGAUGAAGGUUUUCGGGUUGUAAAGUCCUUUUGGUAGGGAAGAAAGUGACGGUGUCUCACGACUAAGCACCGGCUAACGCCGGGCCAGCAGCCGCGGUAAUACGGAGGGUGCAAGCGUUACUCUGAAUUACUGGGUGUAAAGAGGGCGGAGGCGGGAUAGCAAGUCAGAUGUGAAAUCCUGUGGCUUAACCAUAGAACUGCAUUUGAAACUGUUAUGCUAGAGUAUGGGAGAGGUAGGUGGAAUUCGUGGUGUAGCGGUAAAAUGCGUAGAGAUCAAGAGGAACACUAAUUGCGAAGGCGACCUGCUAGAACAUAACUGACGCUGAGGCGCGAAAGCGUGGGGAGCAAACAGGAUUAGAUACCCCUGUAGUC
rnacentral:rRNA from 1 species